AGAAUCAACGCUGGCGGCGUGCCUAACACAUGCAAGUCGAACGAGAAAGUGGAGCAAUCCAUGAGUAAAGUGGCGUACGGGUGAGUAACACGUGACUAACCUACCCUCGAGUGGGGAAUAACCUCGGGAAACCGGGGCUAAUACCGCAUAACAUCUUCGGAUCAAAUGCGUAAGCAGCUUGAGGAGGGGGUCGCGGCCGAUUAGCUAGUUGGCGGGGUAAUGGCCCACCAAGGCAAUGAUCGGUAGCCGGCCUGAGAGGGCGCACGGCCACACUGGAACUGAAACACGGUCCAGACUCCUACGGGAGGCAGCAGUGGGGAAUUUUGCGCAAUGGGGGAAACCCUGACGCAGCAACGCCGCGUGGAGGAUGAAGCCCCUUGGGGUGUAAACUCCUUUCGAUCGGGACGAUUAUGACGGUACCGGAUGAAGAAGCACCGGCUAACUCUGUGCCAGCAGCCGC
rnacentral:rRNA from 1 species